rnacentral:lncRNA from 1 species
CAAAACGACGUCGUACCUAGGGCCUUUAAAAGUUAAGUUUUUUUUUUGAAACUUCAUUUUCAUUCUUUCUAGCAAAAAAAAGGGCUGAAAGCCUCUCUCCCUCUCUCCUUUCUCUGCAGCGAGCCCAGAAACCGGCGAUGAGCCGAUCAUCCGCCACCGUGUUGUCCGCCAUGCCGGCCGUCGCUCCGGCCACCGUGUAAAUUUUUUCUUCUUUUUUAUUGUUUUAGAAAUAUGUUUAUUUUCCUAGUGUUUAUAUUAUAUGUUUAUCUAUAUAUGGAUAUAGAAAGCAUGGAUUCGGCCAAGAAACAGAGACGAAAAAGAAAGUAGAAAACGAGUCACCUUAGGUUAUUAGACUUUGCUUCUCGGUAUUUCUGUUAUUGAUAUUGCUGGAUCUCUUGUUUUGCUAGCGUUCUUACAAUCUAAUAUUGCUUUUCAUUCUCAAAAAAAAAAAUGCUGACCCCCCCACCUUUGGUUUUUGAUUCGGCUUUAUAGGAAAAAUGGGUGGUGGAGUAGAGGCCACUUGCAGGCAUCGGUGGUGGAGCAGAGGCCACUUGCAGGCGUCGGUGGUGGAGGGGUGGGGAGCAUGUGCUGACGGCUAGGGUUUCUUGGAGGAGUUUAGGAUAGUGGGCUAGGGUUAGGUGAGGUUUGGGCUUAGUUGGGCUGAAUUAUUUGGGUUGGUUUGUAAUUGGGUUUAGUGGGUUUUGGGUAUUGGGCCCAAAAUUGGGCUUGUACAUAGAAUAUAUAAUAAAACUAUUCAAAAAAAUCAUCCUAUUUAAAUUUUUUUUUAAAAAAAACUGCCAUUACUUUUAAAAGCUAGCUUUAAUUUAUUCUAAAAAAACUAUCAUUAAUUGAAAAAUAAAUAUAAUUUUACAUUUUCUUCACCGGUACAACAAAAGUUAGUGAAAGUUUCUAAGUCAUAAUGAGUAUUAUCAAUCUAUUGAUUUAAGAAAAUUUAUUAUCCAUCAUCUAGAAUAAAAUCGAAAUAUUUCCUCAAUCAAAAUUACCAAUCAUAUAUAGUAUUAGAAGU